CAGGGUGUGGGGAAGCCUGGCCAUCCCGCGUGUUUUGGAAGCACGAGAUCACUGGUUCAAAUCCAGUCAUCCUGAC
rnacentral:tRNA from 1 species